rnacentral:misc_RNA from 1 species
UCGGAAGGUGCGGCUGGAUCACCUCCUUUCUAGAGAAUUGCCAGACGCGUUCGAGCGUCCACUCCUAUCGGCUGUCGUUGAAUAGCAAGCCGAAAAGGGUCUGUAGCUCAGUUGGUUAGAGCAUCGUCUUGAUAAGGCGGGGGUCGAUGGUUCGAAUCCAUCCAGACCCACCAACCGACGCCCGCCCCGGAAAAACCGAUCGAGAACCACGAGGGGCCAUAGCUCAGCUGGGAGAGCGCCUGCUUUGCAAGCAGGAGGUCACCGGUUCGAUCCCGGUUGGCUCCACCAGGAUCCGGUAACAACAUCUGUGCAGAGUGCAGCGAGAAGGGUGAAGCUUUCUCAGUGCAUUUUGUUUUAUUCGGCUGCUCUUUAAAAAUUCGGAAGAAACAAGGCGAGUCCGACUGUCUCAAACGGUCGGGCUCAUCUGGGUAAGAGAUUGCAUUUAGUAAUGGGGUUGCGGCUUAGUCGGCCGUGAUCCCACCAAGCGCAAAGAGAAACCUGUGGCGGCGCGCCGUGUUCUAAAGAUGCGGUGCUCACCGUUAUAGGGUCAAGUGAAUAAGUGCAUGU